UCCUUGCAGUCCAAGGGACUCUCAAGAGUCUUCUCCAACACCACAGUUCAAAAGCCAGUAACUAUUCAUCCUUAAAUUCCAGGAUACUUUUCAGAAUUAUUUUUACAGCUUCCAGGCAAAAGUAUGAAAGUAUCUAGCCCCCAAAGGAAAUUUCAUCUCCCUCAACUAAGAUUUCCAGUUGUCAGCCUCCUAUUACAGCAAGCAGCAAAACCUACUUAUGAAAAACAUAUGUAAGAGAAUACAAUAUUUUAUUUCUUUGGUGAAGGCUUCUUAUUGAUUGGUCCUGAGGGUACAAGAAUGGAUGAUAUUUAUGUGCUGCUCUCUAGAAGUCAUAAUAGAAAAGAGCAAAGCAGAUUGUAAAACUUUAUUUCAAACGUUUAAGUGAUAUAAUGGAGGCAUGGGAAAGGUACCCUGGGAGUCUAGACAAAAAAGGAACCUAUAGAGCUUAAAGGAAUUUGUGGUAACAUAGCAGUGACACAGUGAGCAGGGUCUUAAGGGAAGAGGGUGACUUUUGCCAAACAAGGAGUGAGGAGCAUCUCUGCACAGGGCAGAGGCAAACGGGUGGAGAUGUAAACGGGCAGUUUACAGUGGGAUUAGCACAGACAGAGCGAGACUGAAACCUGAGUCCGAGAGACAGGAGUGGUGGGAAUCCAUCACCACCACACGGAUCACAAGAUACAGACCCCUAAGACUGCAGAGUAUUUAUCCAAAACAGACAUCUGAAAGCUGAAAAAAGAUGUAAUAAUGAGAACACAUCUGGGAAGGAAGAAAAUGAAAGAAUGAAAAUAAAGAGAGAGAUUUCAACUUGUAAAACAUCCAGGAUUCUUAGUGCAGGCGUUGAUAGUGAAGAGCUGCUGAGACGGUGAAGCAAGCCUCCUGUGAGACAACAGCGGCAGUGUCGGCCCCGAUUCCCUCAUCCAUGCCGGUCCUCUCAGCGGACAUUCCUGGUCUGGCCAUUUCACACGGAGGGCGACUGCUGGUUCUACCCUACUGGAAACUUGAGAGGGACUGUAGCAGCCAGGCUCCUCUGUCCAUGGGAUUCUCCAG